CCUACGGGAGGCAGUCAGUGGGGAAUUUUGGACAAUGGGCGCAACCSUGAUCCAGCCAUGCCGCGUGAGUGAAGAAGGCUUCGGGUUGUAAAGCUCUUUCGGCCGGGAAGAAAUCGCAUAGGCUAAUACCCUGUGUGGAUGACGGUACCGGAAUAAGAAGCACCGGCUCMCUAACGUGGCCAGCAGCCGCGGUAAU
rnacentral:rRNA from 1 species